GGGGAGGAGGAAAUGGGGAGUUGCUAUUCAAAGGGUAUAAAGUUUCAGUUAUACAAGAUGAAUACAUUUUAGAGCUCUACUGUAUCACAUUGUGCCGAUAGUUAACAAUACUGUAUUGUACAACUUAAAAUUAUUUACAAGGGUAGAUCUCACGUUAAAUGCUCUCAGUAUAAUUUUUUUAAAGAGAGUGUUAUCAAGUGAAUUACUUCUGACGGUAAACAGAGCUUAACCCUGCUGGGAAACAUGCACAGGACACACACCUGUUAUUUUUCUCACAGGACUAGGUAGUUCAGUGAUUAGCCACCCACUCUCCAGUUAGUCUUUGAGGGAGGCCUCUUGGAGGAAGGUAAGGCAUAUUCAUUUCCCCAGAACUUCUAGCCUUUUCCACAUAUGAACAGAGUGGGUACCCUGGUAAGAGGAAAACUUCAGGCAGUCAAAAGUGAGGGCAGUUGGAAGUUGGGCUGAACGUCCAUGGAGGUGGUUAAGUGCUGAAUGGAUAUAGGCAGGAUAUCAAAAUAUCUUCCACACCUUAGGUACUGCUAUUAUUCCACUCUACAAAAGAGGAAACUGAGAAAGGAGGGAUUGACUCUUUGGCAAAUCUUCAAGUUUGUCUAGAGCAUAACUGGGAUCAAAAACCCAGCGUCAUUGUGAAAUAACAAUUACUCUACAGGAGUAUUGUGGAGGACUAACUACACUUUCAAUGUACCUAUAGGCAGAAUUCUAAGAUGAGAACUCAGCCCAGCUGACAAUUUGAUUUCAGCCUUGUGAGACUCUAAGCAGAGAACUCAGCAGGGACUUCUGAUCUACAGAACUAUGACAAAACAUUUACUGGGGGCCUUUGUAACUAGGAGACAUUUCCAGACAGAAUUUGCAAGAGGAACAUGCAAGAGGGGCAACAAGUCCCUCAAACUGGAAGUCCAAGAAAAGCUUCCUGAGAAAGAUGAUGCUGAGAAAAAGAACAAGAUCUAAAGAAGACAAGACAUAGAGCCAAGGAAAAGUUACAGAAGAUGACAACAGACCCAGAAACCAUAAUUGCAGAAAAAGGACUCACGGAGAUAGCUGCUUGGAUGUGCUAAUGCCCUGGGGCAUGAUGUUGACUGACUUUCAGACUUAAGGGAAGAUGCUUUUUGAUUAAACAAGGUGGAUGGGUGUGAAGGUGGGGAAAAAUACCAAUAUUUCAAAUAGUUUUUAAUUUUUUAUUUCAAUUAUGCAAAGCCAGAUUACGUUUUAAAAUCUGGGCCAAAGCACCCUCUCCCAGAGUAUCCUUCCUUUUCAGCAGCCGUCUGGAUUGCUCUGAGUGAUGACGGACACUUUUAUAAAAGUUUGAAACUGUUGUGAAGAGAACUUUUUAAAGCUGACAGCAAAAACAAACAAACAUGAUGUCCUACAAAGCCGAGAAUAAGCUCCAGAGAGAGUGAAGGCAGCAGAAAUAGCCACUGGGAAGGGGAAGGAGAUCGCGAUGUUCCUUGCCCUGGGCCCCAUGAUCACUGUUGCCGCACCCACUUGCAAGUCCUGUGGGCAGCCCGAGCUUGGCUGAGCGGGGAGGCAGGGAGACGCCACCCCGGGAGAGCCCAGAGCUAUUUCAGACUCGAGGCCAACAUCCAUGGAGACCUUGAGUUACAUCAUCAAAACUGUCUGGACUUUGGUCCCCUUAUGCCAAAUGCGGUUUCCAGAAAAAGGAUCCCUGGCGUAUUUGGAAGCCCAUCAACUAAAAGUCGUCUCGUCACUUUCAUGCGUGAGAUCUUUGCACUUGUGAAGAGCAUAUUAUUUUGCUUAAUUAUGGGCUGUGAGGAGGUGGCAUGGAGCAGUGGAAAAAGCCUGGCCUCUGGGGUCAGAGAGGCCUGGGUCUGAAUCAUGUCUCUGCCAUCCUCCAGCUACGGGACACUGGCCCAGUGGGCCUCGGUUUCCUUGUCCGUGAACUGAGAAUAACCUUGUAAUAAUUGACUAUCUUGUAGGGAAUUUGUUAGGAUUAGAAGUUUAAGGCAUGUCAAGAAUCUUGUAUUGUUCUGCUAUUCAGAUCUUUAAUAAUCAGUAGCAAUUAUUAAUAAAGCAUUUGACUUUUAACA